rnacentral:rRNA from 1 species
CCUACGGGGGGCAGCAGUGGGGAAUAUUGGGCAAUGGGCGCAAGCCUGACCCAGCAACGCCGCGUGAAGGAAGAAGGCUUUCGGGUUGUAAACCUCUUUUCUCAGGGACGAAGAAAGUGACGGUACCUGAGGAAUAAGCCACGGCUAACUACGUGCCAGCAGCCGCGGUAAUACGUAGGUGGCAAGCGUUAUCCGGAUUUACUGGGUGUAAAGGGCGCGUAGGCGGCGAAGCAAGUCAGAUGUGAAAACCAUGGGCUCAACCUGUGGCCUGCGUUGGAAACUGUUUGUCUUGAGUGCUGGAGAGGCAGGCGGAAUUCCUCGUGUAGCGGUGAAAUGCGUAGAUAUGAGGAGGAACACCAGUGGCGAAGGCGGUCUACUGGACAGCAACUGACGCUGAGGCGCGAAAGCGUGGGGAGCAAACAGGAUUAGAUACCCGUGUAGUC